rnacentral:rRNA from 1 species
AGAGUUUGAUCCUGGCUCAGAGCGAACGCUGGCGGCAGGCUUAACACAUGCAAGUCGAGCGGGCGUAGCAAUACGUCAGCGGCAGACGGGUGAGUAACGCGUGGGAACGUACCUUUUGGUUCGGAACAACACAGGGAAACUUGUGCUAAUACCGGAUAAGCCCUUACGGGGAAAGAUUUAUCGCCGAAAGAUCGGCCCGCGUCUGAUUAGCUAGUUGGUGAGGUAACGGCUCACCAAGGCGACGAUCAGUAGCUGGUCUGAGAGGAUGAUCAGCCACAUUGGGACUGAGACACGGCCCAAACUCCUACGGGAGGCAGCAGUGGGGAAUAUUGGACAAUGGGCGCAAGCCUGAUCCAGCCAUGCCGCGUGAGUGAUGAAGGCCCUAGGGUUGUAAAGCUCUUUUGUGCGGGAAGAUAAUGACGGUACCGCAAGAAUAAGCCCCGGCUAACUUCGUGCCAGCAGCCGCGGUAAUACGAAGGGGGCUAGCGUUGCUCGGAAUCACUGGGCGUAAAGGGUGCGUAGGCGGGUCUUUAAGUCAGGGGUGAAAUCCUGGAGCUCAACUCCAGAACUGCCUUUGAUACUGAAGAUCUUGAGUUCGGGAGAGGUGAGUGGAACUGCGAGUGUAGAGGUGAAAUUCGUAGAUAUUCGCAAGAACACCAGUGGCGAAGGCGGCUCACUGGCCCGAUACUGACGCUGAGGCACGAAAGCGUGGGGAGCAACAGGAUUAGAUACCCUGGUAGUCCACGCCGUAAACGAUGAUAACUAGCUGUUCGGGCUCUACGAGCUUGAGUGGCGCAGCU